GCACUUCACGUAGGCACCUUUCCCCCCUAUCUCCUCUGUUAUUGAGACUGAAGUACAUCCACUUUCUCUCCCAAUACAGUUCCUCCUCCCACGACGACGACAUUCAUAAGUAUUUAUUCUGUAUUUUAUUUUCUAGAUUUAAGAUUUUAUUUUCUCAUAUUUUCUGGUUUUCUUCUUCUCUAGAUUUUAUUCUCUAGGUUUAUAUGAAAUAAUCUGUUUUUCACGUAAUCGGCGUACGUAAAUGUUUCCUUAUGGGGGGUUGGUUGUUUUGUGCAUGUUGUGAGAUUACAAAAAUUUUCAGAACUGUCCAUAUUCUGGGUUUGGGUUCGUCUUAGUAUAAUUUUUGAUUGGUUACUAAGAGGAUAGGUUUUUGUUUUUUAAAAUUUUUUCCCCUUUUUAGAAGCAAUUUCCGAUUGUUUGCAUAGAGGAAAUGUUUUUCCUAUUUUUUAUUCCCAGUUGAAUAAAGGCCCUUGUUUGCCCAAGAACUCAUGAAUUUCCCAUAUAUUUGCUGAAAAUAUAUGUGCUCCUCCAUUGUCCAAGAAAUUUGUUAGCUUGAAAGAUAUGUUGGCCCCAAAUAUUAGUUCAUCAGUUCUAUAGAACGAGGUAUAGACCAAGCCUUUUUUUUUAAUUGGUAAACAAUAAUUUUAUUGAUGAGAAAGAUAGGUCUAGAAGAGGACCUUCUUAUUCUAUUCAAGAAACAUCUCUGCAUUACAGAAUCUUGCCUCAAGCAGUAUUUUGAAUUUUGGAAUGAUAUUUUGAGCCUUACUCUUUUCAAGAAACAUCUUUGCAUCACCGUUUGAAGGUCCAUUGGAGACAAUCCCAACUGCCUUUGAUAAGAAACACCGUUUGAUGAGACAGUUUUAUAUAAUUGCUGAGAUGGGGUCACUAUCUAUGAACAAAUAUGAGCAUGUUUCACGGGGAGUAGAGACUAUUCAUCAAGAGCUUCUCUUGAUGAGUGAUGAUAAUGGUGGUGGUGGUAACACGGAGGGACGUGAGAUCCAGAGCCAAACAAUCUCAAACUUUUCAUUGCAAGAUCCCCCAAUCAUUGUAUCUAAAGGUAGGCCCAAAACUUUACGACAAAAGAAUCCAAAGGAAAAUGUGCCAACAAAGAAGCGAUGAUGCAGCAUUUGUAAACAAGAAGGGCAUGUUAGAACGAAAUGUCCAACACAGAGUGGUAUGGGUGAACCACGUUCAACUACAUUACCUCCACACCCGGCCACUAUUUCAACAACAUUUGAUAUGAACAUGCAAUUCCCAACAAUGUCACAAGAUGAAGAGUAUGGAGCAUCAUGGAAUUUUCAUUUUUCAGAAGAUAUAUAAUUAAUUAUUGGGCAGUCGAUGGAGUGAAAUUUAAUAGGAGUUUGUUGUUUCCUAAUAGGAUGACUUUUUGUAGCCAUAUUAUUUUGUGCACACUUAAAAAGUGGCUUGAUAAGAAUUUCUCCUAUAGCAGCUAGUUGUCAUUAGUUUUUAUUUAUUGAUGACAUAUGAUAGAAGGAUGCACGCUAUUUAUACUGGUGUUGAAUUUGCAAACACCAUGGAAGGAUCA